UACAUAGGGGGCAAGCGUUAUCCGGAAUUAUUGGGUGUAAAGGGUGCGUAGACGGAGAAACAAGUUGGUUGUGAAAUCCCUCGGCUCAACCGAGGAGCUGCAACCAAAACUAUUUCCCUUGAGUGUCGGAGAGGAAAGUGGAAUUCCUAGUGUAGCGGUGAAAUGCGUAGAUAUUAGGAGGAACACCAGUGGCGAAGGCGACUUUCUGGACGAUAACUGACGUUGAGGCACGAAAGUGUGGGGAGCAAACAGG
rnacentral:rRNA from 1 species